CGGAAUUAUUGGGCGUAAAGAGCUCGUAGGCGGUUUGUCACGUCUGCUCGUGAAAGCCCGCGGGCUCAACUGCCGGAUCUGCGKUGGAGWACUGGGCAGACUAGAGUAGAUGUAGAGGAGACUGGAAUUCCUGGUGUAGCGGUGAAAUGCGCAGAUAUCAGGAGGAACACCGAUGGCGAAGGCAAGUCUCUGGRCUUUAACUGACGCUGAGGAGCGAAAGCAUGGGGAGCGAACAGGAUUAGAUACCCUGGUAGUCCACGCCGUAAACGAUGGGUACUAGCUGUGGGGGACAUUCCACGUUUUCCGCGCC
rnacentral:rRNA from 1 species